GCCAACGUGGCCUAGUGGUUUGAGUGUUGGACUAGGACUCUGGAGACCAAGGUCCAAUUCCUCACUCGGCC